UUAAUUAAAUAUACGUUUACAGUUUUAUCCGCGUGGCUGACGGCGUGUUUCGGCCAGCAGAUGUCGCUGUAGUCCUCGUCUAAACGGGCUUUUGGCUGUGGAAUAUUUCGGAAACUACCCACACAUUUGUGAGAACGAAGGAGGUUGAGUUGACCAAAGAAGGCAGUGAUGAAGGGGAGAGUCAUUGUGACGAACUCAGGAUGUGGGAAGAAACCACUCCGUAUCAUCCAGCCAGGAAAAAACAAAAAAAUUCAGAAUAAAGACUUCACAAAGUGUA